GACGCUGAGGAGCGAAAGCGUGGGGAGCGAACAGGAAUUAGAUACCUGGUAGUCAACGCCGUAAACGUUGGGCACUAGGUGUGGGACCUUUCGACGGGUUCCGUGCCGUAGCUAACGCAUUAAGUGCCCCGCCUGGGGAGUACGGCCGCAAGGCUAAAACUCAAAGGAAUUGACGGGGGCCCCGCACAAGCGGCGGAGCAUGCGGCUUAAUUCGAUGCAACGCGAAAAACCUCACCUGGGUUUGACAUGUAGGGAAAAGCUGCAGAGAUGCAGUGUCCUUCGGGGCCCUACACAGGUGGUGCAUGGCUGUCGUCAGCUCGUGUCGUGAGAUGUUGGGUUAAGUCCCGCAACGAGCGCAACCCUUGCCCUAUGUUGCCAGCGGAUAAUGCCGGGGACUCGUGGGGGACUGCCGGAGUUAAUUCGGAGGAAGGUGGGGACGACGUCAAGUCAUCAUGCCCCUUACAUCCAGGGCUGCACGCAUGCUACAAUGGCCGGUACAAAGGGUUGCCAACCCGCGAGGGGGAGCGAAUCCCAAAAAGCCGGUCUCAGUUCGGAUCGCAGUCUGCAACUCGACUGCGUGAAGUCGGAGUCGCUAGUAAUCCCGAAUCAGCACGUCGGGGUGAAUACGUUCCCGGGCCUUGUACACACCGCCCGUCACACCACGAAAGUCGGCAACACCCGAAGCCGGUGGCCCAACCAUUUAUGGAGGGAGCCGUCGAAGGUGGGGUUGGUGAUUGGGGUGAAGUCGUAACAAGGUA
rnacentral:rRNA from 1 species